CCCCUAGAUGUUCUGGGCCGCACGCGCGCUACACUGAACAGUUCAACAAGUCUUAACCUUGGCCGAUAGGCCUGGGUAAUCUUUGAACGUGAAUCGUGAUGGGGAUAGAUGAUUGCAAUUAUUCAUCUUCAACGAGGAAUUCCUAGUAAACGCAAGUCAUCAGCUUGCAUUGAUUACGUCCCUGCCCUUUGUACACACCGCCCGUCGCACCUACCGAUUGAAUGGUCCGGUGAAAUCUUCGGAUCUGAGAGAUGUCUGAUUAAUUUCGGACGCCUUUUGGAAAAGUUGUUUAAACCUUACCAUUUAGAGGAAGGUGAAGUCGUAACA
rnacentral:rRNA from 1 species